GACGAACGCUGGCGGCGUGCUUAACACAUGCAAGUCGAACGGAAAGGCCCCUUUGGGGGUACUCGAGUGGCGAACGGGUGAGUAACACGUGAGUAACCUGCCCUUGACUUCGGGAUAACUUCAGGAAACUGGGGCUAAUACCGGAUAGGAAUCCUUGCUGCAUGGUGGGGGUUGGAAAGCUUCGGCGGUUUUGGAUGGACUCGCGGCUUAUCAGCUUGUUGGUGGGGUAGUGGCUUACCAAGGCUUUGACGGGUAGCCGGCCUGAGAGGGCGACCGGCCACAUUGGGACUGAGAUACGGCCCAGACUCCUACGGGAGGCAGUAGUGGGGAAUAUUGCACAAUGGGCGGAAGCCUGAUGCAGCAACGCCGCGUGCGGGAUGACGGCCUUCGGGUUGUAAACCGCUUUCAGCAGGGGCGAAGCUUGUGGUGACGGUACCUGCAGAAGAAGCACCGGCUAACUACGUG
rnacentral:rRNA from 1 species